CUUGAACUGACCUUUUCUUUGUGAUGUAAGACUCGCUUCCUCGGAGAGAGGGAGGUCGCCAUUUCUGCAAAUUCAAGUUGCUGGUUCUGGUGCGUGAGAAAUGGCUGGUGAUUUGGAUGAUAAGGUAUCAAUACUAUUGGAUACUUGUCCUCAACUAUCCAAUGGUUCCAUGGAAGUUCCAUUAACAAGCUUUAGCGCUAGGCGUACUACUCGGAGUGUAUCAUGUUUGCCAAUGUCUGCUACGAAUUCCAUGGGGCCCUACGGAAGUGAAAAUAGCCCUCUAUCUCAUAUUGGUCGUUUGAAUGGUGAAAAACGCCCUCUUUAUACCCCUGAGCGGUCCUUUAUAUAGCCAUACGAAGCCCAAGAACUUCUCUCAGCCUAUGAAUGGGACAUUAGUUAGAAGAACAGUGACUGUCAACGAAAGUGUUAUAGAAAUGGGCCAGAUGGACAGGCCAGAUGACAGCUUUGUGCAAAAGAAUGAGCAUUUAUUGAAGUCUGGGCAAUUGGGUAAAUGCAAUGAUCCUUUCUGCACCAUGUGCCCGAUGAAUUAUGAUUUCAAAGAAGCAGAAAAGAAAUAUAAAAAGGCUUCAGCUUUUGACACUAAGUUACCUAAUUCACCAUACGGGGAUGCCAAAGGUUGGGUGCAAAAAUCAUUUUCCUCGCUAAAAAGAUGUAUUCCUGGCAUCAUGAAUCCUCAUACCAAGGUUGUUCAGCAAUGGAACCAAUUUUUUGCCAUUUUUUGCUUGGUGGCAAUUUUCAUGGACCCAUUUUUUUUCUUCCUACUGUCCAUGAAGGAGGUAUAAUUUUGUUCUCUUCCAUGUUAAUGACAAACAACUUAGAUUGCAUUUAAAACUUUUUUUUUUUUUUUUAACGAUUAGAUUGCAUUUAAAACUUUUCACAUCUUUAACUUGAAUAAAUGAUGAAAACUUGUAUUACUGGGUAUUUGUAUGUGAUUUUGAGCUUUCUCAGCAAAGUUCUAUGUAUUGGAGGGCCUAUCAGCCAAGCCAAAAAUGAUAAGAUACUGGCAUGAUUUUUUUUGGCCAAAAAUGUGAACAGU